rnacentral:ncRNA from 2 species
AGGGGAGUCGGUGUUCUCCGGCUGAGAUGGCGGUGUAAGCUGUCUACCCUUAGAACCUGAUCCGGGUAAUGCUGGCGAAGGGAGCUUGGUUUUUU